rnacentral:rRNA from 1 species
GAUGAACGCUAGCGGCAGGCCUAAUACAUGCAAGUCGAACGGUGUCUUCGGACAUAGUGGCGCACGGGUGCGUAACACGUAUGCAACCUACCUUACAUUGGGGGAUAGCCUUUCGAAAGGGAGAUUAAUACCGCAUAAGACAGUAGCUGGGCAUCCAGCAGCCGUUAAAGAUUUAUCGAUGUAAGCUGGGCAUGCGUCCAAUUAGCUAGUUGGUGAGGUAACGGCUCACCAAGGACAUGAUUGGUAGGGGAACUGAGAGGUCAAUCCCCCACACUGGCACUGAGAUACGGGCCAGACUCCUAUGAGAGGCAGCAGUAGGGAAUAUUGGGCGAUGGACGCAAGUCUGACCGAGCCAUGCCGCGUGCAGGAUGAAGGCGUUAUGCGUUGUAAACUGCUUUUAUACAGGAAGAAACGACUCUUGCGGGAGGCAUUGACGGUACUGUAUGAAUAAGCACCGGCUAACUCCGUGCCAGCAGCCGCCGUAACAC